rnacentral:rRNA from 1 species
GACGAACGCUGGCGGCGUGCUUAACACAUGCAAGUCGAACGAAGUGGCGAACGGGUGAGUAACGCGUAAGCAACCUGCCCUUCAGAGGGGGACAACAGUUGGAAACGACUGCUAAUACCGCAUACUGAAGGAGGGGAAUGCGUCUGAUUAGCUAGUUUGAGGGGUAACAGCCCACCAAGGCGAUGAUCAGUAGCCGUUCUGAGGUGAUGAACGGCCACAUUGGGACUGGGAAACGGCCCAGAGUCCUACGGGAGGUAGCAGUGGGGAAUCUUUCGAAAUGGAGGAAAGUCUGACGGAGCAACGCCGCGUGAGUGAUGACGGCCUUCGGGGUGUAAAGCUCUGUUAAGCGGGACGCGGUACCGGAAUAGAAAGCCACGGCUAACUACGUGCCAGCCGCCGCGGUAAUAC